GUAGGUGGCAAGCGUUGUCCGGAAUUAUUGGGCGUAAAGCGCGCGCAGGCGGUUCUUUAAGUCUGAUGUGAAAGCCCACGGCUCAACCGUGGAGGGUCAUUGGAAACUGGAGAACUUGAGUACAGAAGAGGAAAGCGGAAUUCCACGUGUAGCGGUGAAAUGCGUAGAGAUGUGGAGGAACACCAGUGGCGAAGGCGGCCUUCUGGUCUGUAACUGACGCUGAGGCGCGAAAGCGUGGGGAGCAAACAGGGAUUAGAUACCCUGGUAGUCCACGCCGUAAACGAUGAGUGCUAAGUGUUAGGGGGUUUCCGCCCCCUUAGUGCUGCAGCUAACGCAUUAAGCACUCCGCCUGGGGAGUACGGCCGCAAGGCUG
rnacentral:rRNA from 1 species